rnacentral:rRNA from 1 species
UCCAGAGAUGGAUUUGUGCCUUCGGGAACUGUGAGACAGGUGCUGCAUGGCUGUCGUCAGCUCGUGUUGUGAAAUGUUGGGUUAAGUCCCGCAACGAGCGCAACCCUUAUCCUUUGUUGCCAGCGGUCCGGCCGGGAACUCAAAGGAGACUGCCAGUGAUAAACUGGAGGAAGGUGGGGAUGACGUCAAGUCAUCAUGGCCCUUACGACCAGGGCUACACACGUGCUACAAUGGCGCAUACAAAGAGAAGCGACCUCGCGAGAGCAAGCGGACCUCAUAAAGUGCGUCGUAGUCCGGAUUGGAGUCUGCAACUCGACUCCAUGAAGUCGGAAUCGCUAGUAAUCGUGGAUCAGAAUGCCACGGUGAAUACGUUCCCGGGCCUUGUACACACCGCCCGUCACACCAUGGGAGUGGGUUGCAAAAGAAGUAGGUAGCUUAACCUUCGGGAGGGCGCUUACCACUUUGUGAUUCAUGACUGGGGUGAAGUCGUAACAAGGUAACCGUAGGGGAACCUGCGGUUGGAUCACCUCCUUACCUGAAAGAAGC